rnacentral:rRNA from 1 species
GACGAACGCUGGCGGCGUGCCUAAUACAUGCAAGUAGAACGCACAGUUUAUACCGUAGCUUGCUACACCAUAGACUGUGAGUUGCGAACGGGUGAGUAACGCGUAGGUAACCUGCCUGGUAGCGGGGGAUAACUAUUGGAAACGAUAGCUAAUACCGCAUAAUAUUGAUUAUUGCAUGAUAAUUGAUUGAAAGAUGCUAUUGCAUCACUACCAGAUGGACCUGCGUUGUAUUAGCUAGUAGGUGAGGUAACGGCUCACCUAGGCGACGAUACAUAGCCGACCUGAGAGGGUGAUCGGCCAAACUGGGACUGAGACACGGCCCAGACUCCUACGGGAGGCAGCAGUAGGGAAUCUUCGGCAAUGGACGAAAGUCUGACCGAGCAACGCCGCGUGAGUGAAGAAGGUUUUCGGAUCGUAAAGCUCUGUUGUAAGAGAAGAACGGGUGUGAGAGUGGAAAGUUCACACUGUGACGGUAUCUUACCAGAAAGGGACGGCUAACUACGUG